UUAAAACUCUAAUGCUGGCUGAAAGGGAAAAGUUCAGUUUAGGGUUUAAAACCCUAAUGCUGACUAAAAGGAAAAUUCAGUUUAGGGUUUAAAACCCUAAUGAUGAUUGCAUGGAAAAAGCUCAGUUUAGAGUUUAAAACUCUAAUGCUGGCUGAAAGGAAAAAGUUCAGUUUAGGGUUUAAAAUCCUAAUGCUGACUAAAAGGAAAAUUCAGUUUAGGGUUUAAAACCCUAAUGCUGAUUGCAUGGAAAAGGCUCAGUUUAAAGUUUAAAACUCUAAUGCUGGCUGAAAGGAAAAAGUUCAGUUUAGGGUUUAAAACCCUAAUGCUGAUGGCAUGAAAAAGCUCAGUUUAGAGUUUAAAACUCUAAUGCCGGC
rnacentral:lncRNA from 1 species